rnacentral:lncRNA from 1 species
CACAUGUUAUGGACAUUUUUAUUUAUUGACAUGGUCAAAUUAACAGGCAGCAGCAUUUAUUUUUAAUGAUAGCCUUGAAAUCAGCCCAGGAAGAAAGUUAACAUUGAUGUUCAGAAUACUGCAUGCCAUCCACAUUUUUCCAGAUGAAAGUAUAUUUUAAACUAAUAAUUAAAUAUUGUCACCCUAAUUAAGUUACCUUGAGCAGGUGAGAGAAACACAGUUCUUAGUCAUUGCAAAUCUUGUUUGUCCUAUUCUCAAGCUGUACAGAAAAACUACCCAGCAGGAGAAAUUCGGCAAGCUCCAUGGUUUAAAGUGUGCACUUAAUUUAGGUGAAUGAUAAGCUGUGUCUAUAAAGAUUUGUGUUGGUCACCACGGAAUGGAAGAUUCCUGUGAAGUAGACAAGAUGUAAUUGCCAGUAAAUAUCAGUGCUAGCUUGGCCACACAACAUUCACAGAGCAGGAGGGAAUAUCUUGGUAUAUUUAUUAUUACAGUGGGGAAUUUUGACAGUCACCUUAAUCACUCUUUGAGACAGGUAAAGAGAAAGGAACUGGGCAGCAGCACAGUUAUCAGCUGGGUUAGAGAAAGCACACAGAGCAAAGGAGAAUGAAGAGCAUUUCACAAGGUAUUUUAAACAGGUUUACAUUGGGAUGAAGAUAUUAGGAGUUUUUAGAUAUUAAGCACUUGUGGAAAUUAAAUCAUUGCUUCAUGCAUUUAAAAUUUACGCCCUAGAAGUACCUUCACAAACCAGACUGCCCACUUUAAAACUUCUGAUCUACCCACCUUAAACAAGAAUAUUCUAUAAAUUACAAAGAAAGACUGGGAAAUGAUCUGUGUGUAAUAGCUGAACCAAGCAAUUUGCAUAUUUUCAUGAAUUACUGUAAUGUGUUCUGCUUGUAAUUUCACUUGUAUACAAAGGAUCACAGUUGCAAAAAGUACCAACUUUUCAUGUUCAAAAGUGAUUCAGGAGUCGAAUUUCCUAGUCCAAAAUGCUGAGACACUUAAAAAUUAGAAGCUGAAAUCAUUGUUCUCUUCAUUGCACUAGAAAGUUUUGCACUAAAUCCUGCUCAGUGGCUUAGAUAUGAGCUGGAAAUAAUUUUUAGGAAAGCCCUGAACCAGGACACACUAUUAGAGACUCCUUGGUUCUUUUGACUUGGCAUUCACACAUGUGCAUGCAGAUAUGCAGAUAGCCCUGUCAUGAUCUAUUAAAAAAACAAACAAACAAAAAAAUCUAGAAAAAUCAAUUUUCACUGAAAGAUUCCAGUUUUUUUUCAGGGAAGAAAAGGUCUGUAAGCUUACCUGAGAAAAAGUUUCCACAGCAAUUUUAUUUUUUAAAAAUGGUGAUGAACGACCCACAGUGAACGUGGGAGAAGGAUCCAAUUUCUGCCCACGAGGGAGAAGAGUGUGUGCAUGGUGGGCACCUCAGGCUGCAAGAGCAGGCACAGGAUAGGGCAUGGGCACGCAGGGCAGCUGCCUGCAGCUCCUGGCCAGUCUCAGCCUCUGUGGGGUCCCUUAGAGGGGUGAAUUAUUGUGCCCAGGGAGCUCCCCCCCCCAUCCUGGCCAAGUCAGGAUACAUUUUUAUAGCCCUUCUUCAAGUGAUAGAAAUAUCAAGGGGAGGGCAAAAUAUAUGGGAGGAGGGAAAGGGAGGCAGUUUCCAGUAUUUGUCAUUAUUAUAGGUUAUAUAUACAGGAAGAAAGUUAAUUAAGCUUUAAAAAAUCCAUCACACAUCAAUGGGUGCAUUUUAAUGAGUAGAAAAAGUUGAGAUGUUUACUGCCAAUUAAAGUGGUUUUUAAAUAAGCAUUAAUUAACACAGAAAUUCAGAAGAAAGUUAUACCUUGUCAAAGAAAGGCCAGUGCAGUCUAUGCCCACUUCUGCUCCCAUUCAUACUCAGAUAGUAAUUACCACCAACCCUAUAUUUUCCAUAAUAAUGAGGAGAGGCUGUCAUGGCUGUCAAACAAAAACAAAACAAAAAAAAAAAGAAAAAAAGGUGCUGCACAAAAAUACCCUCAAUCUGAAGUAAACUUUUGUUUUUAAAUGUAUAAUAAAAAGCCACAGGAGACAGCAAUAUGGGGCAAGGCAGUGAGUGGGGCAGUCAGGCAGCCAUGCCAGAGGCAGCUGCACACACAUGGCUCCUUCCUAGGGAGCAGAGACUUUGGAACUCAGGAUGAAGCCUCUCCAGACAGUCCAGCUGAAGAAAGACUGAAGAAAAGCCAAAGAAAAAGCAGUUCGUUCCUAGUUUCAUCCCUAGCGCUGGAACUCGUGGAGGAGCUGAUUCCCCUGUUAAAGCCAGAGGAGCUCGUUUUUUCCACAAACAAGUGCUGACAGACUAGCUCCAUGCUUCCCAAAGUCAGAUCAAAGCAACCACUGCAAAUAAGUUCAGCUUGCAUGUGCACUUCCAGCUGGAGCAACUGGUGACAGGAAAAACAGUACGACCCUCAAUUCUGUCACUUCUCCAUUCUUGCAGGAUUUCUUAAUAAUUGUCAGGAGUUUCAGCUCUACUUCAGCUAGUGUCAAAUCCUGAUGGGACAGCAAAGGAAGUGAUUUCUCCCAUUGUUAGUCUGGUGAAUGUUUAAAUAUCUUAGGAAAACCUUCCUUCCCCCAAAUGCAUCUUAGGCACCAAGUAAGAUUUUCAAACUGCCUCAUUGAGAAUGGCUUCUCUCCUCACUUCCCCAGCUCCAGCUGUGGAGAGAUAAAAACCCCACUGCCUUUUCAGACAGCAGAAGAGGCAGGUCACAUAAAAAUUUGUUAGUAGCCUAAGAAAUUUUACAAAAAUCUCUGGUGUAGUGUUUUUAAAGUUAAUUUAAAAAACAAAACAAAACAAAACAAAAGAAGCAACAAAACACAGAAAAGAAGGCUGUAGAUAUGCACAGACUCCUGUUCCUAACCCUUGGCAUUUCACUCAGAUAAUGUGCAGCCUCUCUGUAGCUUGUGUCUAUCAGGGAGUAUCUGGGAGCCUUUUUCCUACUCCAUGUCCACAGGCAAUAUCUGCAGUAGAAUAAAAAAAGGAGAGCAUUAAAUGCCAUGGAAGUUUUGUUGAAUGUAACUGGACAGGGCCUUCAGAUCUUG